UACAGAGGUCUCAAGCGUUGUUCGGAUUCAUUUGGGCGUAAAGGGUGCGUAGGCGGCGCGGUAAGUCGGGUGUGAAAUCUCGGAGCUUAACUCCGAAACUGCAUUCGAUACUGCCGUGCUUGAGGACUGGAGAGGAGACUGGAAUUUACGGUGUAGCGGUGAAAUGCGUAGAUAUCGUAAGGAAGACCAGUGGCGAAGGCGGGUCUCUGGACAGUUCCUGACGUGAGGCACGAAGGUCAGGGGAGCAAACGGG
rnacentral:rRNA from 1 species